AGGGGAGUAGUUUAACUUAGAAUACUGGAUUUCAAAUCCUGUGGUGCUAGAAGUUAUCUGGCCUUCCUUG
rnacentral:tRNA from 1 species